GCGAUGCAGCAAUAGGCGGAGUUCUGGCUUGAGAUGUGCGGUCCUGAACAUCUUCACCAACCAAGCAAAUGUGGAGUGAUCUUCUGUUUUUAGAAACAUUACAAUGGCAUGAAGCCUAACAAGAACGCAUAAGCCUCUGGUUCAGAGACGUUCGUGGUAGACCCACAGCAUCUUCCUCAAUGCAUCAUGGAUCACCUACGCAGCUCUUCCAAUGGAACCAUCCAAAAAUGCUCUCUCAUGGACUAUGCUGGCUGUUUCAGAAAUGUAUUGAAGUCACUUCCAGGACACUUUUUUCUUGCUCCGUGGUCUCCAAAUGUUAUUGAGUAAACUACCCAUAUUCUAGGGUAGGUAUUAGGAUAAAGCCAAAGUGGUGGAGAUAAAUUAUCCUCCACUA